rnacentral:rRNA from 1 species
GGUUGAUCCUGCCAGCAGUCAUAUGCUUGUCUCAAAGAUUAAGCCAUGCAUGUCUAAGUAUAAGCAAUUUAUACUUGUGAAACUGCGAAUGGCUCAUUAAAUCAGUUAUAGUUUAUUUGAUAGUAUCUUACUACUUGGAUAACCGUGGUAAUUCUAGAGCUAAUACAUGCAAACAAUCCCGACUUACGGAGGGAUGUAUUUAUUAGAUACAAAACCAAACUGGGGAGCAAUCUCCAGUGCUUGAUGCCCUAACCCUAACCCUAUAACCCUAACCCUAACUGGUGCUUGAUUC